rnacentral:misc_RNA from 1 species
UCCGGCUUGCCACCGGCAGUUCCACUAGAGUGCCCAGCUUAACCUGAUGGCAACUAGUAGCGAGGGUUGCGCUCGUUGCGGGACUUAACCCAACAUCUCACGACACGAGCUGACGACAGCCAUGCAGCACCUGUGUUCCGAUUCCCUUUCGGGCACGCCCGCCUCUCAGCGGGCUUCCGGACAUGUCAAGGGUAGGUAAGGUUGUUCGCGUUGCAUCGAAUUAAACCACAUACUCCACCGCUUGUGCGGGCCCCCGUCAAUUUCUUUGAGUUUUAAUCUUGCGACCGUACUCCCCAGGCGGAUAACUUAAUGCGUUAGCUGCGCCACCCAAGCACCAAGUGCCCGGACAGCUAGCCAUCAUCGUUUACGGCGUGGACUAC